rnacentral:rRNA from 1 species
UACGUAGGGCGCGAGCGUUUUCCGGAAUUAUUGGGCGUAAAGAGCUCGUAGGCGGCUUGUUGCGUCGGAUGUGAAAGCCCGGGGCUUAACUCCGGGUCUGCAUUCGAUACGGGCAGGCUAGAGUUCGGUAGGGGAGAUCGGAAUUCCUGGUGUAGCGGUGAAAUGCGCAGAUAUCAGGAGGAACACCAAUAGCGAAGGCAGCUCGCUGGGACGGUAUUGACGCUAAGGCGCGAAAGCGUGGGGAGCAAACAGG